UUAAUUUUGAUGGGACCCAAUAGGUCACCCUAGUUUGUUCAUCCUGAAUACCUUGUUUACCCCUGAAUCACUUGGGUAGUUCUGCUACUGCUUUAUAUGGUUUUGGGUUAAUAUUUCAUUACAUCUAUGUUCCAAUUAUGUUGUUAUUCUAUUUAUGUUCAUGACAAGAUCAUUAAAAUGUUAAUUGGAACAUAGAGCUUAACUUGAGAACCACGUGCCACCACAAGGGUUUAAUGGGACGCCCUUGGCUGACUAAUUAGGAAAGCUAGUGGAGGACUACCUUACCCGAAAGGGGCAAGGGCAGUAGGGGAGUGGUCAGUGUAGGGAGGCCCUCGGGAGGAUUUUGCUGCGAUGGCGGUCCUGCAAGGGAUUCCUGCAUUGGAGCUUCCUAUAAACUGCAGCGGGUUUUCUGAAGCUAGUGGAACUUUGUAAAGGCCUCGUAGUGUUACCCUGCCGCGCCUCCUCGGUAGAGGUGUAUGGGAAGUCGCGAUCCCUUGGCAGAUGGGUAACAUGACUUGUGGGUAAAGGGUACCACCUCUGCAGAGUGUAAAACUGGUAUACUAGCCGAGCUCACGGUCAUGAGCAGCUCAGGACUCUCUGAUGAUUAAAUUAUGGAACUUAAACUCAAUUUGUCAUAUGCAUUGCAUUGCAGGUGAGGUUGUUACUUUUGUUCUACUACUUAAUUGGGUUGGUAUUUACUUAUACUUAGUAAUUGCUAAUAAAAUUUUGACCAACUUUAAAAGCAAUGCUCAGCUCUAACCAUCCUCUUUGGUAAGCCUUACACUUCACAUGAACCCCCACCUUUGGCGAGUUCAUUCACAUUAUUCCCCACAACUUGUUGAGCGAUGAACGUAUGUGAGCUCACUCUUGCUGUCUCACUCCCCCCCCCCACAGGUCAAGAACAGGUACCGCAGGAUGAGGCGCUUGGAGGAUGCUGUAAUGAGUUCGUGAGUGGUCUAGGUCGUCGUCUCCCAGUCAACUUUGGGUUGCUGGAUCGUUUCCUCAUAUGAUGUAAUUAUUUAAUUAUUUUUGUACAGAACUCCUGUUAAAUAGUAAAGAUGUGACAUUCGAUCCUGUGCCAUGAUUCAUCAUAUGUGUGAGACUUGGUCCCAGCACACCUGGUGAUUAUGUUUACGCCCGGGUUUUGGACCCCUAAAAUCCGGGUGUUACAGAAGUGGUAUCAGAGGAAUGUUGACUGUAGGACGAAACCUAGAUAGAACUGGACAACCAAUAUUUACUUACCUUUGCUACUCUGAUUCUUUCUAAACUUUUCUUAAUCUUUUCUCAUCUAUUUCUGCUUCACUCUGAUUACUCUUACCUUUUCUUUCUAAAAGACAAAUGUAGAUUUCACACUUUGAAAUCCUGUGCCUAAGGUGAUCUUUAGGAAUAGGAUACCUACUCUUAGAAACAAAAUCAAAACUAUUUUCGUAAGUAUUUGUAUGCUUGAAUGUUUGUUCUUAUGAUACUUGUCUGAUUUGGAUCUUUGAUUGAGUGGGAUGAGUUGUGGAGUAGUGUCCACAAUUGCAUCUACAUACACUUAGGCAUAUAUAUAUAUAUAUAUAUAUAACUAAUCAAACUUAGAUUGUCCCUCAUUAAAAAAAUGUAUCUAGCUUAAUAGAUCCAUCUUAUCUUAAAAGACUCUCUUAUCUUGAUAGAUCCAUCUUAUCUUAAAAGAUUCUAUCUUAUCCUAAUAUGUUCAACUUAUCCUAACCACUUUACUUAUCUCAUCCUAAAGUAACAACCAUGAUCUAAUUAAGGAGGUCUUAUCUAGUCUAUCUAGUCAUAACGAUCUAACCUAGAUCUGAUCCAGUGUGAUAGAAUAAUCUAACCUAAUGAAGGCUAACCUUAAGUGAGCUAAUCUAAUGUAAGUUACUUAAUCCUGUUACAAAAGAUAAGGCCAUACUCCUAAUUCACAUAUGCCUAAAUUGGUGACUUAGAUCAAUUCGACCACACCCAACAACUUGACCUACAAAACAGGUUACAUAACUAAUCCCAUCUAGCAUAUAGCUACCUACUAAACCCUCUACCUAUUUGUUGCAUACAGAUCUAUCUUAACCUCUUGUCCCAAACCCGGAUGAAGACAUCAAGACUCGAGAAGAAGGAGAUCAAACUCGUUGAGGAAUAAUAAGAAUCAAGCCAUACUUCCAAAGGAAUCAAGAUCCACUAUGCAUUAUGGAGUCCUUCCUUACUCUACUAUGUCCUACCCAAGCCUAUCCAUGCUUUAAAGACAUCGUUUUACACAUUUGGUGGUUGUACAUAUAUACUCAUGCCUUCAUAAUCACCUACUCAUUUGUAUAAAAAAUUUCUUGAUUUUGGUACCAACUAAAAACUAAAAGCUAUAUUACAACCAAUCUCUCUAUAUCCCUUAUCUUACAAAUCUCGAGGACGAGAUUUCUGUUAAGGGGGUAGGAUUUGUAACACCUCAAAAUCUUGUCUUAAGAAAUUAGUAAAAUUCUCCAAUUUUUUUUUUUGAGUAAAUCCCCUAGGAAAGAAUCUUCUUUUUUUUUACAAAAUAAACAUGUUUUCUAAUAAAGGACAUCUAUAUGAAUUAGGUUCCCUAUUUUAUUUGAAAUAUAAAAUUCAGAUAAAGCAUCUUCUAGUAAAGGUUGUACACUAGAAAUUUGCUCCUCUUAAAAGCAACUAUUUUUGUGUAUGUGAAUUUGCAUAUUUAAAAAAAAACAUGAUACAUAAAUGAGAUAAUAAUAAAUAUUUAUACACUUUGCAUCAUGUUGGAGUUUAUUUGAUUGUGCAUUUAAAAAUAAUAAUAAUAGGAAUAUACAAAUGGUGAAAUAGGUAUUUGAACCUAAAUUUGGAAAUUAAGAUGUGGAUAAAGGAAGAAAAGAAAUAUUAUAAAAUUCAUAAUAAAAAAUGUAAACUAUAUCCAUACUAAGUAAUAUUAAAAUCUACCUUUAGUUUGAGUACAAAAUUCAUAUUCAUAGUUGAAUUCAAAUUCAAAACCUAAAUAUGAAAAUGAGAGGAAAUAGAAAAUAGAGAUGGGAAUAGAAAAGAAAAGAAAUGGAAAAACUCACCUGUAGCCGGUACAUGGGCCGAAACCAUACCUGCCGGCCCAUUCCUAACCGCGCGCUCAUAGGCAAACUUGUGACGCUGACUUGUGAGGUCCGUAUGUCAGAUCUUCCCCCAUCUCGCGCCGAGUUCGGAACAGGCACUGCUCGUGGCGCGCGGACUCCGGAGAUUCCUCAACCGAACCCUCACCGGAUGCCGAAAUCCGCGCUGCUCGUCGUGGGACGGUCUCAUCCGCUGGUGCCGCAAUCCGCGGACCGUUGCCCAGUGCCGUGCGCCUAUAUAACCCGUGGAAUCCCAGUGUCGCCGAGAACGCAGAAAGAGAGAGAUAGAAUCAAGCUGCGCCAUUGUCCGGAGGCCCGUGCUACCUUGGGGUGCUUCGCGGUGCUGCUGGGAGGGCGCUCGAUGCCGGAUAAGGAAGUGACGACCAUCGGGGCGGCCGGAAUUUUACACCGUCGACAUCCCUCCCGCCGCUCAGCUGCUCGUGCCGUGGACAGACUCUACGGACGUCGUUCCACCAGUAAGAACCCUACUAUUCAAUUCGCGUUCGUAUAAGCGUUGAGUUCCAUUAUAUGUCGGGCGAAAUCACGUCUUGAAUCGGGCGGCGCGUUUGCGCCAGCGAGGGCGCCGCCGUGUUUAGGAGAUGCGCCGCCGUGACAGGGGUCGUGGGGAAAGGGGGAUGGCUGUGUGCCCGUGUGCCGUUGAUCACGUGUUGGACGAUGGAGAUUAGACUUCCAGUCGUCGCAUUGAAGCUAAGCUCCACGCCAUCCAUCUGGAGUUCAACGGAGUAGAUUAGAUCGCGUUAAAUAAAAUCUGGGUCGUCCGCGUGGAAUCGGAUGGCUCAGAGCGGGCGGUACCCUUUCAGUCAUGUCAAUUUGCUAAUGAGUCCCCGAAGAAGAUAGAAACUAACCCGCCGUCCACGCCAGGGACUCUCUGAGUCUUAGGAACAUUUUCACCGUAGCCCCUGCUGUUUUCUGUUAUUGAGGCCCAGUCCAGUGGGGUUAUUAAAUUAGAAAAAUGAGUUUUUAAAAUAAAAACAAUACCUAGAAUUUGUAUAAUUCAUAGAAACUCCAUAUGAACUCCAAAUUGGUCCAUUCCAGUUCCUAUAAUUUUGUAAUAUUACCCUCUAUCAAAUAGUUACACUGUUUUGGCAUGAAAGACUCAUUUAAAUUUAUCUAGCACUUAACCUUGUAUUAAGCACAUAAAACAUUAGAAAAUCCAUAACUUAAAAUCUAUACCUCCAAACUUAAUGAUUCCAGUUCCUGUGAUCUUAUUUUAAUGUCUAGUUUAUUACUGUAUAUUCUAUUUGUAUGUUUGGUGUAAUGUUAAUUUUGCCUAUACAAUGUUUGUCUGUAUUGCUACGACUAGCAGUGAGGUCACGAGUCAUCUGAAGAUCACCCCGGUACCUGGAAUCUCAAGUCCCAGGCAAGUUGUGCCCUUGAUCACUUCUUUUACCUACUCAUGUUCUGAUUAAUCAUAAUGAUCUGCAUAGGUUAAUUUUGAUGGGACCCAAUAGGUCACCCUAGUUUGUUCAUCCUGAAUACCUUGUUUACCCCUGAAUCACUUGGGUAGUUCUGCUACUGCUUUAUAUGGUUUUGGGUUAAUAUUUCAUUACAUCUAUGUUUCAAUUAUGUUGUUAUUCUAUUUAUGUUCAUGACAAGAUCAUUAAAAUGUUAAUUGGAACAUAGAGCUUAACUUGAGAACCACGUGCCACCAUAAGGGUUUAAUGGGACGCCCUUGGCUGACUAAUUAGGAAAGCUAGUGGAGGACUACCUUACCCGAAAGGGGCAAGGGC
rnacentral:lncRNA from 1 species